rnacentral:rRNA from 1 species
GGCGAACGCUGGCGGCAGGCCUAACACAUGCAAGUCGAACGAACCUUUCGGGGUUAGUGGCGGACGGGUGAGUAACACGUGGGAACGUGCCUUUAGGUUCGGAAUAACUCAGGGAAACUUGUGCUAAUACCGAAUGUGCCCUUCGGGGGAAAGAUUAAUCGCCUUUAGAGCGGCCCGCGUCUGAUUAGCUAGUUGGUUGAGGUAAUGGCUCACCAAGGCGACGAUCAGUAGCUGGUCUGAGAGGAUGAUCAGCCACAUUGGGACUGAGACACGGCCUAAACUCCUACGGGAGGCAGCAGUGGGGAAUCUUGCGCAAUGGGCGAAAGCCUGACGCAGCCAUGCCGCGUGAAUGAUGAAGGUCUUAGGAUUGUAAAAUUCUUUCACCGGGGACGAUAAUGACGGUACCCGGAGAAGAAGCCCCGGCUAACUUCGUG